CUCUUCAGCUUGCAGAUGGCCUAUUGUGGGACUUCACCUUGUGAUCAUGUCUUCAGAUUCAGACUGAGUUACAUCACCAGCUUUCUCCCGCUGGUUUUCCAGCUUGCAGAGGACAGAUUAUGGGACUUCUAGGCCUCCAUAAUUGUCCCCAGGAACUCAAAGUGUGAAAUGAUAAUGCCCAGAGAUGCAAAAAAAAGUUCAGGUUGAUAUUCAGCAGAACGGAGGGAAAAAAUGGAUGACUAACAAGAAACUUUGAGUCUUCGGACAUGGAAAAACUAGAUGAAAUAAAAAUAAAAA